rnacentral:rRNA from 1 species
UACGGGGGGGGCAAGCGUUGUUCGGAAUUACUGGGCGUAAAGGGCUUGUAGGUGGCCAACUAAGUCAGACGUGAAAUCCCUCGGCUUAACCGGGGAACUGCGUCUGAUACUGGAAGGCUUGAAUCCGGGAGAGGGAUGUGGAAUUCCAGGUGUAGCGGUGAAAUGCGUAGAUAUCUGGAGGAACACCGGUGGCGAAGGCGGCAUCCUGGACCGGUAUUGACGCUGAGGCGCGAAAGCUAGGGGAGCAAACGGG